CGGAGGAUCCGAGCGUUAUCCGGAUUUAUUGGGUUUAAAGGGUGCGCAGGCGGGGGAUUAAGUCGGCGGUGAAAUUUUGCAGCUCAACUGUAAAAGUGCCUUCGAAACUGGUUUCCUUGAGUGUAGAUGAAGUAGGCGGAAUUUGUGGUGUAGCGGUGAAAUGCAUAGAUAUCACGAGGAACUCCGAUUACGCAGGCAGCUUACUAAACUACUACUGACGCUCAGGCACGAAGGCGUGGGGAUCAAACAGGAUUAGAUACCCUGGUAGUCCCU
rnacentral:rRNA from 1 species